rnacentral:misc_RNA from 1 species
GAACGCACAUUGCGCCCUUUGGUAUUCCGAAGGGCAUGCCUGUUCGAGUGUCAUUAUCACCCCUCAAGCCCUCGGCUUGGUGUUGGACGGUUUGGUGGAGGCCCCCUCGGGGGCUCCUGCCCCUCCCAAAGACAAUGACGGCGGCCUCGUUGGACCCCCGGUACACUGAGUUCUUCACGGGACACGUAUCGGACACAUGGGUUUACGGGACACGGUCUGCCUCCCCUCAGGGAGAAUCUUUCUAAGGUUGACCUCGGAUCAGGUAGGGAUACCCGCUGAACUUAAG